rnacentral:rRNA from 1 species
CCUACGGGAGACAGCAGUGAGGAAUAUUGGUCAAUGGACGAGAGUCUGAACCAGCCAAGUAGCGUGAAGGAUGACUGCCCUAUGGGUUGUAAACUUCUUUUAUAUGGGAAUAAAAUGUUCCACGUGUGGGAUUUUGUAUGUAUCAUCUGAAUAAGGAUCGGCUAACUCCGUGCCAGCAGCCGCGGUAAUACGGAGGAUCCGAGCGUUAUCCGGAUUUAUUGGGUUUAAAGGGAGCGUAGGUGGAUUGUUAAGUCAGUUGUGAAAGUUUGCGGCUAAACCGGAAAAUUGCAGUUGAAACUGGCAGUCUUGAGUACAGUAGAGGUGGGCGGAAUUCGUGGUGUAGCGGUGAAAUGCUUAGAUAUCACGAAGAACUCCGAUUGCGAAGGCAGUUCACUGGACUGCAACUGACACUGAGGCUCGAAAGUGUGGGUAUCAAACAGGAUUAGAUACCCGAGUAGUC